rnacentral:rRNA from 1 species
AGUGAACGCUGGCGGUAGGCCUAACACAUGCAAGUCGAACGGCAGCACAGUAAGAGCUUGCUCUUACGGGUGGCGAGUGUCGGACGGGUGAGGAAUACAUCGGAAUCUACUUUUUCGUGGGGGAUAACGUAGGGAAACUUACGCUAAUACCGCAUACGACCUACGGGUGAAAGCAGGGGAUCUUCGGACCUUGCGCGAUUGUAUGAGCCGAUGUCGGAUUUGCUAGUUGGCGGGGUAAAGGCCCACCAAGGCGACGAUCCGUCGCUGGUCUGAGUGGAUACUCAGCCGCACGGGAACCGGAACACGUUCAAGACGCCUGCAGGAGGGAGCAGUGGGGAGUAUUGGAGAAUGGGGGCAUGCCUGAUCCAGCCAUACCGCGUGGGUGAAGAAGGCAUUCGGGUAGUAAAAACCUUUUGUUGGGAAAGAAAAGCAGCAGGUUAAUACCCCGCUGUUCUGACGGUACCCAAAAAAUAAGCACCGGCUAACUUCGUG